rnacentral:misc_RNA from 1 species
GAUGAAGAACGCAGCGAAAUGCGACAAGUAAUGUGAAUUGCAGAAUUCAGUGAAUCAUCGAAUCUUUGAACGCACAUUGCGCCCGCCAGUAUUCUGGCGGGCAUGCCUGUUCGAGCGUCAUUUCAACCAUCAAGCCCCGGGCUUGUGUUGGGGACCUGCGGCUGCCGCACGCCCUGAAAUGCAGUGGCGGGCUCGCUGUCACUCCGAGCGUAGUAGUUACAUCUCGCUCUGGGCGUGCUGCGGGUUCCGGCCGUUAAAAGCCUUAUUUACCCAAGGUUGACCUCGGAUCAGGUAGGAAGACCCGCUGAACUUAAGCAUAUCAAUAAGCGGAGGA